GAGUAACGCGUGGGCAACCUGCCCCAAAGCUCGGGAUAACACUCCGAAAGGAGUGCUAAUACCGGAUGUAGUUGCGGUACUGCAUGGUACUGCAAAAAAAGGAGAAAUCCACUUUGGGAUGGGCCCGCGUCUGAUUAGCUAGUUGGUGGGGUAACGGCCUACCAAGGCGACGAUCAGUAGCCGACCUGAGAGGGUGAUCGGCCACACUGGGACUGAGACACGGCCCAGACUCCUACGGGAGGCAGCAGUCGGGAAUAUUGGUCAAUGGGGGAAACCCUGAACCAGCAAUGCCGCGUGAGUGAUGAAGGUUUUCGGAUCGUAAAGCUCUGUCUUUGGGGACGAAUAAAUGACGGUACCCGAGGAGGAAGCCCCGGCUAACUACGUGCCAGCAGCCGCGGUAAUACGUAGGGGGCGAGCGUUGUCCGGAAUUACUGGGCGUAAAGGGCGAGUAGGCGGUUUAAUAAGUCAGAUGUGAAAUGCCAGGGCUCAACCCUGGAACUGCAUUUGAAACUAUUAGACUUGAGUGCAGGAGAGGAAAGUGGAAUUCCCAGUGUAGCGGUGAAAUGCGUAGAUAUUGGGAGGAACACCAGUGGCGAAGGCGACUUUCUGGACUGUAACUGACGCUGAGGCGCGAAAGCGUGGGGAGCAAACAGGAUUAGAUACCCU
rnacentral:rRNA from 1 species